rnacentral:rRNA from 1 species
ACGCACGCUGGCUGCGUGCUUCACACAUGCAAUUCGAACGGAAAGGCCCCUUUGGGGGUACUCGAGUGGCGAACGGGUGAGUAACACGUGAGUAACCUGCCCUUGACUUCGGGAUAACUUCAGGAAACUGGGGCUAAUACCGGAUAGGAAUCCUUGCUGCAUGGUGGGGGUUGGAAAGCUUCGGCGGUUUUGGAUGGACUCGCGGCUUAUCAGCUUGUUGGUGGGGUAGUGGCUUACCAAGGCUUUGACGGGUAGCCGGCCUGAGAGGGCGACCGGCCACAUUGGGACUGAGAUACGGCCCAGACUCCUACGGGAGGCAGCAGUGGGGAAUAUUGCACAAUGGGCGGAAGCCUGAUGCAGCAACGCCGCGUGCGGGAUGACGGCCUUCGGGUUGUAAACCGCUUUCAGCAGGGGCGAAGCUUGUGGUGACGGUACCUGCAGAAGAAGCACCGGCUAACUACGUG